AUUUCAGCCUAAAAAAGAAAAGGUCUGACCAAAAGAGAAGACAAGGUAAAAGACAGGCAUGAUUCUGUGUGGAAUUUUGGGACACAUCUGGUAAACACUGUCAUCAAGAACUUGAGUAUAGAGUACUGGAGUUUGAACCCAGGACCAUGGGCACUCUAUAUAAGACUUCUAAAGUGCAAGCAAUAAAACCAAGAAUCAAUAAGUGAGAUGGCAUCAAAUUAAAAAGCGUCUGAACAGCAAAGAGGAACAUGAAGUAAAACCCUACAGAAUGGUAGAAGACCUUUGCUACCUGAUCCUCAUGGAAUUAAUAUACAGAAUAUAUAAAGAACUCAAACAACUUAACAUCUCAAGAUCAAAUAAUCCAAUAUAUGGGCAAAAGAAUUAAAGAGUCAUUUUUCAAAAGAAGAAAUGAAAACGACCAGCAAAUACAUGAAAAAAUGUUCAACAACUCUAGCAACCAGGGAAAUGCAAAUCAAAUCUACAUUGAAAUUGUAUCUCACCUCAGUCAUAAUGGCAAUUGUCAAGAACACAAAUAAAAAUGUUGCUGAGAAAUUGGGAUAGAAGAUACACUAAUAUAUUGUUUGCUGGGACUGCAAAUUAGUACAACCACUCUGGAAAGCAGUAUGGAAAUUCCUCAAAAUAACCAGGAAUGGAACCACUGUAUGACCCAGCUCUCUCACUCUAUGAUGGGAUAAGAGCUAAGAUCAGUACACAAUAAGGAUACAGCAGCAUCAGUGUUCUUAACAAUGUGAUUCACAAUAUCCAUCCAAGCUAUGGAACCAGCCAAUAUACCUGUCAACAGAUAAAUGGAUGAAAAAAAAUGUGGUAUACAUAAACAAUGGAAUUUUAACUCAGCCAUAAAGAAGAAUGAUAUUAUGGCAUUUGCUGGUGAAUGAAUAGAACUAGAUAUCAUCAUACUAAGUGAAAUAAGCCAGACUCAGAAAGUUAAUGGUCAAAUCUUUUAUUAUGCAGAAAGAAAACCAAAAUAAGGAAUAAAAAGUGCAGGAAGGAGGAAAUCUCAUGAAAAUAGAAGAGAGAUCAGUGGAGAAGUGGAAGAGGAUUCAGGGUUUAUUGGGGAAGCGGGUAGGGGAAAAGGGAGGGAUGGUGGAAUGAGUCAGACCAAACUUUUUCUUUGUACAUAUAUGAGUAGACCACAGUGAAUUUCACUUUUAUCUAAAUCUAUAAUGCAGUAAUCUAAAAAAAAAUCUAUAGAUAAGUAUAAGGAAGUUCAGUAGAGGAAAAGGAAAAGGGGGAGGGAGGAAGGGAGGAAACAGGGAUAUGCUGGGGACAGAACUGGAGUAAACUGUGUUCCAUGCUUGUAUAAUUAUGUGGAAAUGAAUCCCAAAUAAAUGAUGAUUAAUUCCUGGAAUGUUUCUUGGAGUUUUAAGCCAAGGAGACUGCUAAGGAAAUGUGGCAAUAUUGGCAGAUGACUUCUAAUUUAAGCCUUGUUUGUAUUAUAAUAGAAAAACAACUUUGCAUGAUCCAUAAAAUCAAAAUAUUUUUUUGUGCAGAAACAAACAAAAAUUUUAUAACAGAAUGGGGGUUAGAGAAAGAAAAGGGCUUUGGGGUCCCAGACUAUGAGUACAUGGAUUAAGGAUAGAAGGCAUCCUGGAGAAAAGGCCUGUGAGCUGUACUUUGAAACAAAAAUAGAAAUUUAAGCUGAAGGGAUAAAUAUAAUGGUAGGCCAGUUGGAGCCUGAUGCACUUGUAUCAAACUGCUCAGAGGACAAUUAUCAAAUUAGUUCAUUAAUUUAAUUACUCCUAGCCAGAACCCUUUCUGUUAUAUGAGAUUAUAUGAUCACCAAGGAAAGAAUAUGAGAACUAUAAAUUUGUUAGUAUUCAUAAUAAUAAAAGUUUAUAUGUGUGUUCUAAUGUCUAUACAGAUCACAAAAUAUUUCUUGGCAAAAAAUUAGGUUACUGCAAACGGUAUAAAGUGAACCUCAACCCUAUGGUAUCUGACAUUAACUAUGGAAUGUUAAUUAUCAAAAACUCCUUUUCUGUUUUUCUUAUUUAGAAUAGUUCACCAAAGCUUUCAGUACAUUAAUUAAUUGCCAAAUGAUCCAGAACUUUAGCUCUAAGAAUAAAUAUUUCCCUUCCUUGAAGGAAGGUCUUACACUGUGUUAUUCUUAUUGAACCCUUCCCCCAACUAAACUAUUAAGGUUUAACUACAGACAUGAGGAUGCCCUUUCUGUCAGUCAGUAAGCUUACUAA